CAACCUGCCCACCACUUGGGGAUAACCUUGCGAAAGUAAGACUAAUACCCAAUGACGUCUCUAGAAGACAUCUGAAAGAGAUUAAAGAUUUAUCGGUGAUGGAUGGGGAUGCGUCUGAUUAGCUUGUUGGCGGGGUAACGGCCCACCAAGGCGACGAUCAGUAGGGGUUCUGAGAGGAAGGUCCCCCACAUUGGAACUGAGACACGGUCCAAACUCCUACGGGAGGCAGCAGUGAGGAAUAUUGGUCAAUGGACGAGAGUCUGAACCAGCCAAGUAGCGUGCAGGAUGACGGCCCUAUGGGUUGUAAACUGCUUUUAUAAGGGAAUAAAGUGAGUCUCGUGAGACUUUUUGCAUGUACCUUAUGAAUAAGGACCGGCUAAUUCCGUGCCAGCAGCCGCGGUAAUACGGAAGGUCCGGGCGUUAUCCGGAUUUAUUGGGUUUAAAGGGAGCGUAGGCCGGAGAUUAAGCGUGUUGUGAAAUGUAGAUGCUCAACAUCUGAACUGCAGCGCGAACUGGCUUCCUUGAGUACGCACAAAGUGGGCGGAAUUCGUGGUGUAGCGGUGAAAUGCUUAGAUAUCACGAAGAACUCCGAUUG
rnacentral:rRNA from 1 species